rnacentral:rRNA from 1 species
CCUACGGGAGGCAGCAGUAGGGAAUCUUCCACAAUGGGCGAAAGCCUGAUGGAGCAACGCCGCGUGGGUGAAGAAGGUCUUCGGAUCGUAAAACCCUGUUGUUAGAGAAGAAAGUGCGUGAGAGUAACUGUUCACGUUUCGACGGUAUGUAACCAGAACGCCACGGCUAACUACGUGCCAGCCGCCGCUGUAAUACGUAGGUGGCAAGCGUUAUCCGGAUUUAUUGGGCGUAAAGGGAACGCAGGUGGUCUUUUAAGUCUGAUGUGAAAGGCUUCGGCUUAACCGGAGUAGUGCAUUGGAUACUGGGAGACUUGAGUGCAGAAGAGGAAGGUGGAA